rnacentral:rRNA from 1 species
CAUGCAAGUCGAACGCGAAAGCCCCGCAAGGGUUUAGAUUCUUAGCAAACGGGUGAGUAACACGUGGGUGACCUGCUUAUGUGUGGGGGAUAACGUCCCGAAAGGGACGCUAAUACCGCAUGACAUCCUGCGUUUGGAAACGCGGAGAUCUCCCCCCGGAGGUCGCAAGACCUGGCGCUUGAAGAGGGGCCCGCGCCUGAUUAGCUAGUUGGUGGGGUAACGGCCUACCAAGGCGACGACCAGUAUCCGGCCUGAGAGGGCGGACGGACACACUGGGACUGAGACACGGCCCAGACUCCUACGGGAGGCAGCAGUGGGGAAUUGUUCGCAAUGGGCGCAAGCCUGACGACGCAACGCCGCGUGGAGGACGAAGAUCUUCGGGUUUUAUACUCCUGUCGAGCGGGAAGAACGCUUCCCGGGUGAAU